AUUGAACGCUGGCGGCAGGCCUAACACAUGCAAGUCGAGCGCGCGGCGGACGUGUGUGUAAUGUAUGGGGCUCUGCCCGAUAGAGGGGUAUAACUACUGGAAACUGUGUCUAAUACCGCAUACUAUCGGUUGAACCCAUAUGGGAUUAGCUAGUAGGUGUGUUAAAGGCUCACCUAGGCGACGAUCUCUAGCUGGUCUGAGAGGAUGAUCAGCCACACUGGGACUGAGACACGGCCCAGACUCCUACGGGAGGCAGCAGUGGGGAAUAUUGCACAAUGGGCGCAAGCCUGAUGCAGCCAUGCCGCGUGUAUGAAGAAGGCCUUAGGGUUGUAAAGUACUUUCAGCGGGGAGGCGUUACCCGCAGAAGAAGCACCGGCUAACUCCGUGCCAGCAGCCGCGGUAAUAC
rnacentral:rRNA from 1 species